rnacentral:hammerhead_ribozyme from 1 species
AUUCAUCUGACGAGUCCCAAAUAGGACGAAACAUGCGUUAAACUCGAU